rnacentral:rRNA from 1 species
UGUUGGGUUAAGUCCCGCAACGAGCGCAACCCUUAUCCUUUGUUGCCAGCGGUCCGGCCGGGAACUCAAAGGAGACUGCCAGUGAUAAACUGGAGGAAGGUGGGGAUGACGUCAAGUCAUCAUGGCCCUUACGACCAGGGCUACACACGUGCUACAAUGGCGCAUACAAAGAGAAGCGACCUCGCGAGAGCAAGCGGACCUCAUAAAGUGCGUCGUAGUCCGGAUUGGAGUCUGCAACUCGACUCCAUGAAGUCGGAAUCGCUAGUAAUCGUGGAUCAGAAUGCCACGGUGAAUACGUUCCCGGGCCUUGUACACACCGCCCGUCACACCAUGGGAGUGGGUUGCAAAAGAAGUAGGUAGCUUAACCUUCGGGAGGGCGCUUACCACUUUGUGAUUCAUGACUGGGGUGAAGUCGUAACAAGGUAACCGUAGGGGAACCUGCGGUUGGAUCACCUCC